GGCAUCAAUAUAUAAUUCUGUGCAGUUUUUUAAAUUCCUGAUAGAAGGAAACACAUCUUUCUUUUUUAAGAAGGAGGUAUUGAAAGGAAAUCGAUCGUUUGAUGCCAAGAAUUGAAAGAAUGGUGACACUUAGAAGUUUUAGAAUUUUUUUAACUCCAAAUGAAAUGGAAGGAGAGCUGUUCAGCAAAAUUGCAUCAGAACCAGGUACAAAUGGUGGAGUUGAUGCUGGUGCUAGUAAGAUUCUAUUAGAGACGAGUAAACUAGGCAAUCAACCAAAAAAGAAGCGUUUCAGAAGGGACCAAUCGGAGGGGAAUAAUUUGCCAAAGAAACAAAAGAAAGAUGAAGAUGUAAUAUGUCCAAAAAUUUCUACCAGAAGAAAAAAAAGAAAUUUGCCUUUAGUUCAAAGGCAAUAUUUUGUUCGUAAAUGUAAGGGGGAAAUGUAUUCUCGAUUACAGGAAUCGAAAAGAUCUCGUCAUUCGGGUGAAGAUAAAAUGAUUCCAAAAACUUCGACCAGAAGUAAAACAAGAAAUUUGCCUUUAGUGCAUAGGCAGUAUUUUGUUCGUAAAUGCAAGGGGGAAAUGCAUUCACGAUUACAGGAAGCGAAAAGAUCUCAUCA